GUAGUUCUGACAGAAAUUCAGGUAAUCCUCCCGUUAAGCUGUUGUUUGAUAAAUCCAGGUGCUGCAAUAAUUUAAGAUUGGACAAUGAAGGAGAUAUCUCUCCUGUUAAACCACUUGAUGACAAAUUCCUGAGUGCAAUUAAUUACUUAGCUGUAGUAAAUGAUCUUUUCAUGGACAUAACAACUAGUAGUAAACUUUUCUGUUAUUUCAUUUCAUUUUUUGCCCAAAAGCAAGAACUCACAGGGA
rnacentral:misc_RNA from 1 species